CCGACCUUAGCUCAGUUGGUAGAGCGGAGGACUGUAGUUGGUUAACAGACAUCCUUAGGUCGCUGGUUCGAAUCCGGCAGGUCGGA
rnacentral:tRNA from 1 species